UCUUCCAUCUAGCAUAUCCUAGAAUAACAAGGAAGAGCAUUAUACAACCUAUUGUCAUGCAUAAUACAAAGGGCCAAAAUAACCCCUCUGUGUGGUACAAGGUACAAGGUAUAUUCAUGCCAAACCAACCAGCUAUCAGAGUCUCCACAGCUACAGCAAAUGAUGCAAUCGUCAGUGUCAACUGCAGCUGAAUAAGUUCAUUACGCUGAUUGUCCAGUUGAAUAUUGACGUAGUCUUCAGUGUCAUCAAUGUACUCACGGACAGAUAAUAUCUUGUUCCGAGUGCCUUCCAACUGCAUGAAAUAGGCCUCGAGUAACAUCUCCAGAUCUUCCACAUCAUAGUAAUUAAAAUGAUUGCUCACCAAACUUCCACUUCUGCUUCUAGCUGAAUUAAGUCUCCGAAGAUUUGGUGCAGCAGGAACAGGGCUAUUUGAAACGAUAGUUCCCAAAAGAGUCUCAGGUUGCUGGUUCUGAAUCCAUUUCCUAGUCAAGUACAACUGUGCCAUGUCUUCAUUGUCAUCUAAAAGGUGUUCUAUUUCAUCUCUAACCUUCUGCACUCUGGCAAGCAAUCGGGUAAGAUUACUUUUUAAACUUCUCACUUGCUCAAGAUUCUUCGUGCUAACAUUCAUGGCCAGUUCAUCCAAAACAGGGUAAGCAUCUCUCUCUAGAUCCGCUACACUAGAGUCUAAGAAUGUGCAAACAACCUCCAGUGCAAUUUCAAGCACCUGAAACUCAAAUGGUAGCUCAGCCUGCAGACCUUCUACAGCUUCUGGAACAGGUAACCAGUGUCCAGCAUUUGGAAAGUGUCCUUCAUUGUCAUCUUGUUCAGUGCUAGUACCAUUAACUUUUAAAAGACUUUUAUGAGGAAGUUG
rnacentral:misc_RNA from 1 species